rnacentral:rRNA from 1 species
UUAAGCGACUAAGCGUACACGGUGGAUGCCCUGGCAGUCAGAGGCGAUGAAGGACGUGCUAAUCUGCGAUAAGCGUCGGUAAGGUGAUAUGAACCGUUAUAACCGGCGAUUUCCGAAUGGGGAAACCCAGUGUGUUUCGACACACUAUCAUUAACUGAAUCCAUAGGUUAAUGAGGCGAACCGGGGGAACUGAAACAUCUAAGUACCCCGAGGAAAAGAAAUCAACCGAGAUUCCCCCAGUAGCGGCGAGCGAACGGGGAGCAGCCCAGAGNNUGUGAGCUCGAUGAGUAGGGCGGGACACGUGGUAUCCUGUCUGAAUAUGGGGGGACCAUCCUCCAAGGCUAAAUACUCCUGACUGACCGAUAGUGAACCAGUACCGUGAGGGAAAGGCGAAAAGAACCCCGGCGAGGGGAGUGAAAAAGAACCUGAAACCGUGUACGUACAAGCAGUGGGAGCACGCUUAGGCGUGUGACUGCGUACCUUUUGUAUAAUGGGUCAGCGACUUAUAUUCUGUAGCAAGGUUAACCGAAUAGGGGAGCCGAAGGGAAACCGAGUCUUAACUGGGCGUUAAGUUGCAGGGUAUAGACCCGAAACCCGGUGAUCUAGCCAUGGGCAGGUUGAAGGUUGGGUAACACUAACUGGAGGACCGAACCGACUAAUGUUGAAAAAUUAGCGGAUGACUUGUGGCUGGGGGUGAAAGGCCAAUCAAACCGGGAGAUAGCUGGUUCUCCCCGAAAGCUAUUUAGGUAGCGCCUCGUGAAUUCAUCUCCGGGGGUAGAGCACUGUUUCGGCAAGGGGGUCAUCCCGACUUACCAACCCGAUGCAAACUGCGAAUACCGGAGAAUGUUAUCACGGGAGACACACGGCGGGUGCUAACGUCCGUCGUGAAGAGGGAAACAACCCAGACCGCCAGCUAAGGUCCCAAAGUCAUGGUUAAGUGGGAAACGAUGUGGGAAGGCCCAGACAGCCAGGAUGUUGGCUUAGAAGCAGCCAUCAUUUAAAGAAAGCGUAAUAGCUCACUGGUCGAGUCGGCCUGCGCGGAAGAUGUAACGGGGCUAAACCAUGCACCGAAGCUGCGGCAGCGACGCUGAUGCGUUGUUGGGUAGGGGAGCGUUCUGUAAGCCUGUGAAGGUGUGCUGUGAGGCAUGCUGGAGGUAUCAGAAGUGCGAAUGCUGACAUAAGUAACGAUAAAGCGGGUGAAAAGCCCGCUCGCCGGAAGACCAAGGGUUCCUGUCCAACGUUAAUCGGGGCAGGGUGAGUCGACCCCUAAGGCGAGGCCGAAAGGCGUAGUCGAUGGGAAACAGGUUAAUAUUCCUGUACUUGGUGUUACUGCGAAGGGGGGACGGAGAAGGCUAUGUUGGCCGGGCGACGGUUGUCCCGGUUUAAGCGUGUAGGCUGGUUUUCCAGGCAAAUCCGGAAAAUCAAGGCUGAGGCGUGAUGACGAGGCACUACGGUGCUGAAGCAACAAAUGCCCUGCUUCCAGGAAAAGCCUCUAAGCAUCAGGUAACAUCAAAUCGUACCCCAAACCGACACAGGUGGUCAGGUAGAGAAUACCAAGGCGCUUGAGAGAACUCGGGUGAAGGAACUAGGCAAAAUGGUGCCGUAACUUCGGGAGAAGGCACGCUGAUAUGUAGGUGAAGCGACUUGCUCGUGGAGCUGAAAUCAGUCGAAGAUACCAGCUGGNUGCAACUGUUUAUUAAAAACACAGCACUGUGCAAACACGAAAGUGGACGUAUACGGUGUGACGCCUGCCCGGUGCCGGAAGGUUAAUUGAUGGGGUCAGCGCAAGCGAAGCUCUUGAUCGAAGCCCCGGUAAACGGCGGCCGUAACUAUAACGGUCCUAAGGUAGCGAAAUUCCUUGUCGGGUAAGUUCCGACCUGCACGAAUGGCGUAAUGAUGGCCAGGCUGUCUCCACCCGAGACUCAGUGAAAUUGAACUCGCUGUGAAGAUGCAGUGUACCCGCGGCAAGACGGAAAGACCCCGUGAACCUUUACUAUAGCUUGACACUGAACAUUGAGCCUUGAUGUGUAGGAUAGGUGGGAGGCUUAGAAGUGUGGACGCCAGUCUGCAUGGAGCCGACCUUGAAAUACCACCCUUUAAUGUUUGAUGUUCUAACGUUGACCCGUAAUCCGGGUUGCGGACAGUGUCUGGUGGGUAGUUUGACUGGGGCGGUCUCCUCCUAAAGAGUAACGGAGGAGCACGAAGGUUGGCUAAUCCUGGUCGGACAUCAGGAGGUUAGUGCAAUGGCAUAAGCCAGCUUGACUGCGAGCGUGACGGCGCGAGCAGGUGCGAAAGCAGGUCAUAGUGAUCCGGUGGUUCUGAAUGGAAGGGCCAUCGCUCAACGGAUAAAAGGUACUCCGGGGAUAACAGGCUGAUACCGCCCAAGAGUUCAUAUCGACGGCGGUGUUUGGCACCUCGAUGUCGGCUCAUCACAUCCUGGGGCUGAAGUAGGUCCCAAGGGUAUGGCUGUUCGCCAUUUAAAGUGGUACGCGAGCUGGGUUUAGAACGUCGUGAGACAGUUCGGUCCCUAUCUGCCGUGGGCGCUGGAGAACUGAGGGGGGCUGCUCCUAGUACGAGAGGACCGGAGUGGACGCAUCACUGGUGUUCGGGUUGUCAUGCCAAUGGCACUGCCCGGUAGCUAAAUGCGGAAGAGAUAAGUGCUGAAAGCAUCUAAGCACGAAACUUGCCCCGAGAUGAGUUCUCCCUGACCCUUUAAGGGUCCUGAAGGAACGUUGAAGACGACGACGUUGAUAGGCCGGGUGUGUAAGCGCAGCGAUGCGUUGAGCUAACCGGUACUAAUGAACCGUGAGGCUUAACCUU